AAAACCUCCAGUCUGCGAGAUGACAUCAUAAGUGCUCAGGAGGACCGGGAGUGACCUCAUAAUGACUUCCUCCGGUCGGGCCCCUCUUAGUGGACUUGUCAGACGCUCAACAUUGACGAGACAUCAGAGAGCGUCUGUCCCACCAUAAAAAAAACUGGUAUUUUACAAGCUCCAUUAGACAGUGGACAGUGAAUGGGGUUUUGUUAAAUUCAGGUUAUGCACAGAGAGGUUUCAUGAAGUGUUCCGUAUAUUUUGCAUCGCGGCGCUCCAUAAUUGGAGUAUGACUUCAGACGGUGGCAUUGAAACUGUCUAGUAAGAAACCCUUCAGAGGCUCUGGAUGUCUAUCAUGGUGUGUCUCGCCCACAGGCCUAUGUGUGUGUGUACCUGUGGUUUUCCUGUCGGUGAAACCCAAUAACAGUCCCAUUGCAUCAUUUUGAAUAGUUUCAGGAGAAAAUGGAUGCAGUCUUGGCAGUCAGCGAGUGUUUCCAUUGCUUUCUCCGAACCGUUUUCCUCCUCUGCUCGCCCUCCCCACAGGGAAAACGGUCAAAACAAACAGCAAAUAGUUGGUGUUGAGAGACUUGGGCACUUGGAAGGCCACAUUCCAGCAUAAGUGGAAAAAAUUAGAGUCCCUGCCGGAGUGCUGCAGCUCCCGGAGGCUUUGAUUCACUAAGUUAAUUUGGGAUAGCCUCUGAGAGCUGUAGGAUUUCAAGCUGGCGAGUAACAACGUUGUCAGCGGGUUUUCUUCGGAAUGCCCCCACGUCAAGAACGUUCUCUGACCCGAAACCCCAGCAGCCCACCUGAACAGCAGCUGUGCCAGUUUUCCAGAUACACUGAUGGGUUUUUAACUCGAGUAACCCACAAGGAAAAAGAAACUAAGAACAGAACGUGUGUCUUCCUUAGGAAGGUGGAGGGGAUGCAGGGAUACUCAGGUCCCAUCGAUGUAGUAGCACAGUAUCCAGCAGAGGCUGAACUCCAGAAUCCGUCCUGGGCCAGACUGUUGUCUCACACAGAUCUUCAGUCUGUCCAUGCUGACAAUGGAGCCCUUCUUCAGCUUUGAAGACUUUGGCAGAUGCUCCAAAAAAAGGAAACACAUUCCUGUUGUUUUUUUUUUUUUCUUUCUCUCUCUCUCUCUCUCUCUCUCUCUUCUUAUUUUGCAGCUUUUCUUCAUCCUUUUGGAAUUUUGGAAUCAAGCAAAAGUUGGGAACUUAAGGCAGAGAGACGUUGUGUCAAUCACAGAUUACAGCCUGCGGGACCUGAGGCGGGCUGUUGAAAAUGAACCGUGGUGUUUGUUGGACCGCAGCUCUCUGGCCGACAGGCUCAGACGACCUUGGCCGGUCCCACUUUUGACUGACUGCAUUAGACUGUGUUUUGUUCCGAGACUGAAAGGGAUACCGGGCUGACGGCGGCCUCUCGAUCCCGCUGAAGGAUCAGGUACCGUUUAACAGCGGAAGCGCGAAAGCCGCAGAUUCCACAGCGCCACUCAACGUGUCACGGCGAGAGCGCACGGAGGGCGGCAACGGCACUACUGGGCUCAAUCACUUGAAUUUCUCUCAUGUUUGCCCCCACGCUGACACUCCCAGUGCUGUUGACGCCCCUCGAUCCAUCUUCAUCGGCCAGCGGAGCUCCGUGACCCUCCGGAUGGGGCGGACCAGGCAGCGCGACAUCACGGGUCUUUAAAAGGCCAUUCGUGGGAAAAAUGGGCAGAAACCUUCACGUUGACAAAGCGCUAAACUGUGACAUGCACUAAUGCACAUGUGGUUUUGAUUCCUUGUCCCACGUUAAUGGCAAAUGUCAACCUGAAGUAAUAACUUUCGUCUAUGCGACCGAAUGAAAAUGGUCAAAUUUAUGACAUUUAUUGUUGAACAAUGAAAUUCACCACCAAACUAAUUAUUUUCCAUAUAUUUAUAUUAAAAUAUUUUAUAUUAUCGCGAAAUAAUUCAACUUUAAUUAUGAAGUAUUUUAAAGUAUUCUAAUAUAUAUUAUUACUGUUCUGAAACGUGUGGUCAGUAAGAUUUUUUUAUAUACUGCCCUCCAAAAGUUUGAAAAACACUUCUGACAAAGUGUGGUUUUGGAUGAUAUCAGCAUAAAUCCUUAUCAUUUUUUGGUGCAAAUACAUUAAAGUAAGUUGACAUUAUCGUUGAAGACCAGCAAUAAUAAUUUUCAUUUUGAUUACAUAAUAAUGGCAAUAUACACGUCAAAGUCAGACAUGCCCCUUUACCAGCUGUGAUGCCUGGUUACUGGUUUAAACUUGGCCCAGGUUUUUAAAAGAUUUUUGGGUCAGCACACCUUAAUAGCUUCAACAAUUGAUUGCCAAUUAAGUUUAGAAUACAAUGAAUUUAGGCCCAGAUUAUGCAGAGCUGUAACAGUAUGAAUGGUUUAUGUAAUAACAUAUGUUUUCAUAGUUUGUGUUGUCCCUUAUCAGUGCAAAUUUAUCACAAAUUAAAAAGGAUUCAUGCCAAUAUUGUCCAAAACCCCACUUUUCUAGGGUGUUUCCUAUCAUUUGGAGGGCAGUGUAUAUAUAUUUUUAUGCACUUAGGCUGCAUUUAUUGCGUUAAAAAUACAGUAAAAACAGGAAUAUUGUGAAAUAUUAUUACAAUUUAAAAUAACUGUUUUCUAUAUUAAUAUAUUUUCAGUUGUAAUUAAUUCCUGUGACCAAAGCUGAAUUUUCAGCAUCAUUACUCCAGUCUUCAGUGUCACAUGAUCCUUCAGAAAUUAUUCUAAUAUGCUGAUUUGCUUGCAUUACAGUAAUAUUUUUUUGGAAACUGUACAGUUAUUUGAAAUAAAAAAACGUUUGUAACAUUAUAAAUGUCACUUUUGAUCAU